rnacentral:lncRNA from 1 species
UUGUGGUGUUGUAGGUUCAAAAUCAAUCUACAGGUGAUGACAUUCCAUCAGCACUGGCUACAGUUGGAAUUGAGGAAAGCACUCCGAUUGGAAAAGUAAGCUUCACAACACAUUGCCUGUAAGUCAACAGCUGUGAGUGCAGUGACUAACCACACAAGGACAUCCAAGAGCCACUCAGCACCUGAUCACCAACAGUUUGGAACACAUGCGAGUCAUUUGGAAAGAAAGGACAUUCCCUACUGGUGGUUUGAGGAUCUUCUAGGUGAGCUAAUGUCCUCGGUGCUUGCAAAUACCUUCUGUACUGGGUCUUUCAUCACCUAUGGCUUAAGAACCAGUUCCUGACAAGGUGAGAUGCCCACUGGGGUAUUUGCUUUUUUCUUGUAUCAUUUCCCCAUU